rnacentral:rRNA from 1 species
ACGCUCGACACCUACGGGAGACAGCAGUUAGGAAUAUUCGUCAAUGGAGGAAACUCUGAACGAGCAAUGCCGCGUGAGCGAUGAAGGCCCUAUGGGUCGUAAAGCUCUGUUGUAAAGGAAGAAUACUUGAUAUAGGAAAUGAUAUCAAGCUGACGGUACUUUACCAGAAAGCCCCGGCUAACUACGUGUCAGCAGCCGCGGUAAUCUGAGCGGGCUGGCAAGGC